AUAACGUGGUCAUUGAAAGAAAUUGAUAUUAUACCAGUUGUGGUAUAAUAUCAAUAGGUAACAACAGGGCUUAUGAAGAAGAACCUGAAGAAAUAUCUUGAGGUAAUCCCUGGUCACCCAAGUGCCCAUGAGGUGCCAAUAUCUGCAGUUAAAGGAGCAGUCACAUCUUGAAGAGAGCCCUCGGAUACAAGUCUAGGGUGCAACUUUAGACCCCAGGUCUGGGGUCCACUGCAUUCUAUGAAAAGAAAUUCCAAGAUAAAUGAAA